UACGUAGGGUCCGAGCGUUGUCCGGAAUUAUUGGGCGUAAAGGGCUCGUAGGCGGUUUGUCGCGUCGGGAGUGAAAACACGGGGCUUAACCCCGUGCCUGCUUCCGAUACGGGCAGACUAGAGGUAUGCAGGGGAGAACGGAAUUCCUGGUGUAGCGGUGAAAUGCGCAGAUAUCGGGAGGAACACCUGUGGCGAAGGCGGCUUUCUGGGCCUUACCUGACGCUGAGACGCGAAAGCGUGGGGAGCGAACCGG
rnacentral:rRNA from 1 species